GAUGAACGCUAGCUACAGGCUUAACACAUGCAAGUCGCGGGGCAGCAUUUCCUUAGCUUGCUAAGGAAGAUGGCGACCGGCGCACGGGUGAGUAACGCGUAUCCAACCUUCCCAUGUCCACGGGAUAGCCCGUCGAAAGGCGGAUUAAUACCGUAUGAGGUCACAUGCGGGCAUCUAAGUGUGACGAAAGGUUUAGCGGACAUGGAUGGCGAUGCGUCCCAUUAGUUAGUUGGCGGGGUAACGGCCCACCAAGACGACGAUGGGUAGGGGUUCUGAGAGGAAGGUCCCCCACAUUGGAACUGAGACACGGUCCAAACUCCUACGGGAGGCAGCAGUGAGGAAUAUUGGUCAAUGGGCGGAAGCCUGAACCAGCCAAGUAGCGUGCAGGAAGACGGCCCUAUGGGUUGUAAACUGCUUUCAGUCGGGAAUAAUUCGUCGGUCGUGACCGACGUUGCAGGUACCGUCAUAAGAAGGACCGGCUAAUUCCGUG
rnacentral:rRNA from 1 species